UCUCCACAGAGUGGGAAAGGGGGGAGCGGCCUGCUCAGUCCAUCCUCUCCAUGACCCCAAAGGCAGUCCCUUCAUCUUCAAACAGGAGCUCUAAGGAAGGACGCCAUUGGCUGACUUUGCAUUCCUGAACCAAUCGUCUCUUGGAUUAAUGCAGCCCUAGGAAGGGCUGGGGUCGCGUGACCAGGGGAUCAGGAUCGGAGGGAUGGAUGUUGCUGAACAGACGUGAACAACAGACACCUUCUGUAAUCAUCACUGUGGUCAGCGGGCUCUCAGGAGACCCUCGAUGACGCCCACCCCCUGGAAUUCACACCCUGGGGCCGUCCCUGUCACACGCUCCACGUGGUGAAGAGCUCAGGUCUCCUGCCAACAGCCAGGUGAGGGCACCCCCUGGAGAGCCACCCUCCAGCACCAGGAAAGCUUCACCUGGACCGCACCCUUGGACAAGGAGGACAGAUGGGGAGCAGCUUGCCUGAAGCAGGAACUUGAGAGCCCAGGACCCCCACCAGCCAAGGAACAGCUGCAGGGGUGGGAGCAGCAGAGGUCCUCUCUGCUCCCUCCUUCCACACCCCCCACCAAGGGUCGCCUGGCUCACAAACACACCUGGUGUCGGAGUGGCAAUGCAGGAAUCUAGGACAUGGGACUGCAACCCGUUCACCGUGAGGUUGCCUCCGCCAGUUAAGGGAGGCCGCGUCCUGAUGGACACUGAGUGCACAGAGCCGAGGAAGGACAGUUGAGUAAACAGAGGUUAAGAGGGGGGGCACCUGGGAGCUCAGUCGGUUGAGCAUCCGAGUCUCAGGUCAUGGUCUCGUGGUUCGUGGGUUUGAGCCCCACGAGCCUGCUUGAGAUUUUGUCUCCUUUUCUCUCUCAGCCCCUCCCCUGCUUGCUUUCUCAAAAAUAAAUGAAUAAACAUUUUGAAUAAAUGAAUCGAUAA